CACCCGCCCUGAUCCACUGGGAACAAACCGCUCAGAGACCUGAGGUGGGACCCAGAUCCCGGCGCCCAGAGCAAGUCAAGUCCGGCCGGCCGGAGCUGUGUCACGAAAUGAGCCCUGAAAGCCAUAUGUUGAAGAAGCACAAGAUGGAAGGAGGCUGAGUUUCUGAGUCACUGUCAGACUAGAAAGGUUUAUGUGUACUCUUGGAUAAAUAUUGAGCCAUUGCCAUGUAUAAACCACCAUGCUGGGCCCUAUAGGCAAUGCAAAAAGAAUAUGACAGACUGUCUCACAGUGUCUGCCCUCCAGUAUCUUAAAUUUUUGAGAGUGUGCAAGAUAUAACCUUGUAUCUUGGAUGGUUCAGCAAUGGAGUGGAUAUCUUUGAGAUGAACUUCUCGUAACAGGAAAUGUUCAUUCAGAUGCCAGAAGGACAUCAGCCAAAGACACUUAAAUGGAUGCUUUUUAGUGUAGGAGCCUGAACGAGUAAAGGGUCUUCCAUUUUGAUAUCCACCUAAUUUCUCCAGCCACAGAAUAUUAUCAGCUGCUCCCCAAGAGUAAAUCCAGCCUUUUAUUCCAAGACCAAACAGUCCAAAAAGACUACAAACUCACUUUAAACAAGUGAAGGAGUUCCAGUCCAUCUCAGUUCACUUGAAUGUGCUUACUCCAGCUCUGUUAUUGUUAACCUGGUUCAUGUGGAAAUCACAAGUCCUAAAAAAAGAAAUGAAAAUGCAAGAGAUGUGUGAGACUCAGUGAGAAGAGCUAACAUUUGCAUGAUUUAAAUUUCAGAAAGGGGGAAGAGAGAGGAUGAGGCAGAAGGAAUAUCUACAGAUACAACAACAGUGAAUUCUCCAAAGGAAGCACUACCAAAUUCAGACAAAUUCAUGUUAUAUUAAAAUGGCUAAACAUUAAAGAAAGAGUUGAGAAGAAUAAAGGAUUAGGGAACCACAGAUAAACAGAACUGGUUUCUAUUAAGGAACACUCACAGUUCUUAGAGUUGUGGGCCUGAGAGCAUAUCCUGGGCAGGACUGCAUAAUUAUUAUGGACUAUGUGCCUCUGUUCCUCUCUUUUUGGAAUCCAAGUAUCUGGUUGAAGUUAUCCUUUCCCUAUCACACCAAUGUAUGUUGCAUGUGUGGGCGAAAAUAACAACCGUUUAGUUCCUGAAUCCUUUGUUUAAGAGGAAUUGCUCCCAAAGAGGGGCACUUGAGAAAUUUCACCUGUGAAGCCUCAUUUGCAUCAAAACCUCAUAGAUCCUGGACUUUGAGCCUUACACAGUGAUUGGAUGAUACUUUGGGGGUUCUUGGAAGGGACUAAGUACAUCUUGCAUGUGGGAAAGAUGUGAAUAUGUGGAACCAAAAGAAGGACUAGAAGAGAUUUUUACAACAAUGUUUCCCAAUGAAUCAAACUUCCCAGCAUCCACUUCCAUUUUCCUCCCAGUUGAUUCUGAGAUUGACUGUAUGGCUUCUGGCCAAUGAGGUAUCAGCAAACAUGAUGCCAAGCAGAGGCCCUAUGAGAGCUUCUCCACUGAAACUUGCCCUCCUGUGAUGCUUUGCUGAUGGAGCCCAGGUGGAGACUCGGGGAAAGAUUGGUUCAGCAGUCCCAUCUGCCACAGCUGAGCCCAUCCUCAGGUUCCUCACCAGAUGAAUGCAACCACAUAAGUAAUGUCAGAACAGACCAGAAGAAGAAUCAAUCAACUUGUAGAAUCUUAAGAAAAAUUAACUGUUGUGGUUUAAGUCACUAAGUUUUAGGGUGGUUAAUCAGCAAUAUAUAACUGAAACAAUAUGCAGUGAAAAAAAGCUCACUCAAAAAAUUCUCUUAAUGGAAGAAAUUGUCAUAACUUAUCAGGAAUGAUAUCUUUUCCAACUAUAUCUUAAGCAAAAGGUAUCACAAAUCUAUUUUCAUGACUGAAAUUUGAUAAUUGUACAAAAUUUUCAUGAACUAUGUCAGUUCUAUAGAUUUCAGAGAUCUUGCCUUUCCAUAGCUAGUUACUCUGUCUACUCUAAGAAAUCUUAGUUAUCACUUAUUAUGAAAUAAGAAAAACUCCUAGAAAAUGCUUGACUGUUACCUUGUUUAGAUUUUUUUUGUCCCUGCCAAUAAAAUCACUAGUAUGAUCCCUGACAGUGGGGUCCAAGGGUAACAAUCAAGACUGCUUAGGGACUCCUGGGUGGCUCAGUUGGUUAAGCACUGACUUUUGAUUUCAGCUCAGGUCAUGAUCUCGUGGUUUGUGAGAUCAAGGCCCCACAUCAGGCUCUGUGCUGACAGCAUGGAAUCUCCUUGAGAUUCUCUCUCUCUCUCUGCCCUUCCCCCACUCAUGCUCUACCUCACUCUCUCAAAAUAAAUAAAUAAGCUUUUUUAAAAAAAGGCUGGUUAUAUUAAUAAACACUUCUAUAAAAUGUACGAAUGGUUUCUCUCUCUCUUUUUUUUUAAAUUUUAUUUGUUUUGAGAGAGAUAGAGAGAGACAGAGGAGAUGGAGAGAAGGAGAAAGAGAGAGAAAGAUAGAGAAAGAGAGAGAAAGAGAGAGAGAGAGA